AUACGAAAGGUGCAAGCGUUGUUGGGAUUUACUGGGCGUAAAGAGAGUGUAGGUUGUUUAUUAAGUCGGAUGUGAAAUCCCGGGGCUCAACCUCGGAACUGCAUUCGAUACUGGUAGACUAGAGUUCGGGAGGGGUAAGCGGAAUUCCGUGUGUAGCAGUGAAAUGCGUAGAUAUACGGAGGAACACCUGAGGCGAAGGCGGCUUACUGGACCGAUACUGACACUGAGACUCGAAAGCGUGGGUAGCAAACAGGAUUAGAAACCCGGGUAGUCC
rnacentral:rRNA from 1 species